GACGAACGCUGGCGGCGUGCUUAACACAUGCAAGUCGAACGGUGAAGCGCCUUCCUUUUUGGUGGGUGUGGAUGAGUGGCGAACGGGUGAGUAACACGUGAGUAACCUGCCCCCUUCUUCUGGAUAACCGCAUGAAAGUGUGGCUAAUACGGGAUAUUCUGGGUCUGUCGCAUGAUGGGUCUGGGAAAGAUAUUGUUUCGGUGGGGGAUGGGCUCGCGGCCUAUCAGCUUGUUGGUGGGGUGAUGGCCUACCAAGGCGGUGACGGGUAGCCGGCCUGAGAGGGUGGACGGUCACACUGGGACUGAGACACGGCCCAGACUCCUACGGGAGGCAGCAGUGGGGAAUAUUGCACAGUGGGCGCAAGCCUGAUGCAGCGACGCCGCGUGAGGGAUGGAGGCCUUCGGGUUGUGAACCUCUUUCGCCAGUGAAGCAGGCCUGCCUCGUUUGUGGGUGGGUUGACGGUAGCUGGAUAAGAAGCGCCGGCUAACUACGU
rnacentral:rRNA from 1 species